UCGCCUCUUAGUCAAAAUCCCAAUCUUUCAUUGUCUGCUCCUUACCAGGUAAAAUAUUAACAUCAAUCUUAUGAUUUCUAUUAUCUAAGCCCCUAUCUUCGUUUCCUCGCCUGUUACUCAAGAUCCCAUCUUUCACUGUCUGCUCGUUACCAGGUACAAUCUCCAUAUCAAUUCUUUGUUUGUUACCAGGUACAAUCUCCAUAACAAUUCUUUGCUUCCUACUGUCUAAAUCCCUAUCCUCGUUUAGUUGCUUCUUACUAAAAAUCCCAUCUUUUAUCUUCUGCUCCUUACCAGGUACAAUCUCCAUAUCAAUUCUUUGUUUCCUAUUGUCUAAAUCCCUAUCCUCAUUUCCUCUCUUCUUACUUAAAAUCCCAUCUUCAACAUCAGUAGAAGUAGGCCUAGGGUUAUAACCACCAUAGGCAAUUCUACCCUGCUCUAUAUAUAACAACAACAUUUUAUAAUCUUCAUUGAAAUGAACACAUCCCUCCAAUGCACUACCAAGCUCAUGAUACCUUUCCUUAUCUUGACAAGGACACAAUUCCUUCAUAUCAACUUUCUCCAUACAAUCAAAAACUCAAAUUUCCACUAAACAAAUGACCCAAACUAUUACUCCCUACAGUCCCUAGGUUUCCGAUUAAGCUUAUACACGAUAAAAUCACUCACACUUCGGAAUUAAGAACAAAAGUCGCCGAAAUUGAAGUAAUCAGAGAAGCAGCCAAAAUCGAAGAAGAGUGUAAAAUGCAGCCUUUGAUAGUUUAAUACUUCAUGCGGAUUAAGAGGUUA
rnacentral:lncRNA from 1 species